CACGAGGGGAGGAAACGUAACAAACGGUCACCCCGGGGGCUCUCCGACUCCGUCCCAGCCCUCCUGGGACGUCAGAGUAACCUUAAUAUCAUUACUGGAGCAAAUUGAGUAAUGCUGACUGUUUAAUAAAAGCCCCAGAGGAGAGGCGGAGAACGCGCAGGGCUGAGGCGCAGAAAGUGCGCUUGGCGCCGCGUGAACUUUCACUUGUGCACCCACGAUUGUCGAAGAAAGUUGGAAAAUUUCAGUAACAGGACUAAGGAGGUGGAUCCGUGCAACGCGCCGAGGUUGCCUUCGGUCUUGGCUCAGAUAUUUUACAUUUGGGCAACUGAUCCCAAACUGCAACGGAGAAGAGAAGCUCAUGGCUUUGUCUCAUCCUGCUAGCUCGGCUUGUAGCGCUCACGACUUUUAAUUUCAAAGUCUCGAGCAUCGCCCAGAGUCCAGCGCGUUUUACUUGAUUCUCUUCUAAUUGAGUACCCGCCGUUGCCGGGCUCUACGGAUCCCCGAGGCGGCCACGAGGGGGCGCGUGGUCCUUCCUCUUGGAACCCUGCUCCCAGGAAUCAUUACUUUUUCUGUUUGGAUAGUAAAGAGAAAUGAUGUCCAGUAGUUUCAAUUGCUCUGAGACUGGCGGAACCCGAGAUUUCUUAUUUUUCACCACCCCAACUCUAGGAUCUUCUUUGGUCGAGGCACAGGAGAUUGGUUGUGUAAGCUCAGUUGCCCUGCUUGGGUGCUACCUCAUUCUCUCUGCUCUCAGACUGCUCUCAGACUCACAAACACAACUGGCUUUGAAAGCAAUUGAUUUCCUUUGUAAUUUUAAAUGUUCUAUCCUACUCAUUAAAAGCCUUAUUCUGAGAAGGGUGUGCAGGUUUCAGCACAUCACCAGAGGAAUCCUCAGGAGAAGAAAUGUUAACAACUUCACAAACGGAGGAGGAGGCAGUGGUACCGGGACAUGCCGGUGGGGAAGAGCAUGGGAAGGAAGAUUCAGAGGGAAGAGCAAUGGAAUUGAGAGGAGGAAGAAGAAAGAGAUGGAUUGCCAGGACUGGUCCCCAGUAAUGACAGCUUGUCUCUCUGGGUCUCCCCUCCCAAUCUUUGUCUUUCAAGGCAGCACCAGGACCAGUAUUGACCCUUUACAGAUGGCCUUUUGCUAAUCCUCUCUUUUAUGGUCCUAGGAGGGUCUGUAGGGGAAGCAAAACUUUACCUCCACCCUCGAGGGUCUCCAGGUGAGCCUGAGAAUUAGACUGACAUGAGACAGAUUAACAGAAGAGCAUACAGAUUUUUACAUGUGCUUGGGAGCUCCAAUAGGAAAAUGAAGUGUUUAUACAAUAGGUUGAACCAAGAAAGGCAAUUGUGGAAAAGUGAAAUAUAUGGGAAGAUUAAAGGAAUAUACAAGUUCUUUUAACAAGAUCUGUUUGUACAGAUUUCUGUCAGCCUUGACUUCCUGACAAGAAUGUUCCUUUCCUUCUGGUAUAGGAAAAGCAUCUUUCAAAUGGGAGUUUUGGGGUUUUUUUGCAGGGAAGGAUUCACCUUGAGCUAACAUCUGUUGCCAAUCUUCCUCUUUUUAAAAA
ensembl:lncRNA